GGGAGGAGGGGGGCUCCCCGCCCGCCCGCCCGCCUGCCUGCCCGCACGCACACAUACACACACAUACUGCCCUCCGCCGCCCCCGCCGCCGCGACAGGGAGAGUCCCGGUGCGUGAGGCGGCGCAGAGCCCGCCGGCAGGGCGGAACGGAGGACGGAAGGGAGGACGGACGGACGGGACUCUGUGCCCUCGGGCCGCGCAGCGGAAGGAUCGCGCGGAGGUAGCGCGGCCCCGUGGGCCCUCCGCGGCGCCUGCGCGGCUGUCGGACGGGCGGGCGGUUGAGCGGACGGUAGAUGCGGCCGUGUCUGCGCUGACUGAGGGGCGGCUCCGGUGAACGGCUCCCCGCCCCGACUCCUGCUGGGACGGAGCCGCCGGCGCCUACGUGGUCGGUGGCCGCGAAAGCUGGCAGGCUCUGUCUAGCAGUCCCACUGACGCAGCAGAAGACACAGAUGCUUGAAGUGCCAGGGAAGCCGAGAUGUUUUCUCACAGCUCCAUUUAUUCCUUUUUGUUCACUAGACUUGAGAACUGGACAGCUAAACUUGACGUGGGAUAAUGAAAGGAAUUUUCAUCUCCUGAGGCUUUCAAAUUAACCCAUGGUCAUUAGAAGGUGUGCUUCCUGAAAUGGAAUGGCCCGUUGUAUUCAAGAGCUCAGACUGGGUAAUCUGAGAGGCAAGUGCAUAAGGAACAGAGAAUGCCUUUGGGAACACCACAGAGAAUGGCAGAGUGAGAAAUGAGACAGGGGAUAUCUGACUGGUGGACAGAAAUUUGUCACUCACUGCUCCUGAGGCAGGGUUUGUGCUAAGAGAUGGUGAAGCAUAAGUUGCAGUGUGUGACCUGACACAUCAUCUCCUAGUAGCCACGUAUGAGCUCUGUGGUACAGAAUAUCUAUACUUGGCUGUUUUACCUGUUUUCUCUCAUGAUACUUGCAUUGUGUGAUUAAAAAAAAAGGGAAAUCAAGAUGAACACAUCUUUCUAUUGUUUCAGAGAUGCUUUUUGCAAAGGGUGCUUUGGCUUCUUGGUGUUUAAUCCAAACCACAUAAAAAUGGAUUUGCCCCAUCUGAAGUAUGAAAAGAAAUUUAAAAUAUCUGUUCCCAGUCCUCAUAACUGAAUGCCUCCUAGUAAAUCAUUUUACUCAACAGUUGCCUGGUUCUACUGUGAGAAAAGGGACAGCUCUUUUUUUCUUGGUUUAACUUUUAAUGACUAAUUUAAAUCCCAUUUAUAUGGAAUCCCUAUGAUUUUGAAAAUGCCUUCCGAAAUUAUCCACAACUACCUUUCUAAAAAAAAUACUUUAAAGAGCCUUACCUACAACAUUGCCUAGAAUUAUCUUGUCAGUUACAUAAAAGAACCCACUUGAAAUAAGUGAUAAAAAUAUACAGGGAAGGAAACGCACCUUCCAGUAACAAAUCAUCAUUAAAAGAGAACUUGAAGCAAACUGCUAGUUACCUGGUCAUGCUUAGACAAGCACAAGGUUAUUGAAACAUACAGCUUCCUUUCAGGCAAUUUAACUUGCACUGAAGGCAAAUUAUUGCCAUAAAAGCUCUGAAGCACGUUGCUCAGGCAUUUGAUACAAUUCUGUUGACUUCUAGAAGAUUACCCUGCACAGCGAUGUCAGUGGGAUCAG